rnacentral:rRNA from 1 species
CAGCAGCCGCGGUAAUACGUAGGGUGCGAGCGUUAAUCGGAAUUACUGGGCGUAAAGCGUGCGCAGGCGGUUCGUUAAGACAGAUGUGAAAUCCCCGGGCUUAACCUGGGAACUGCGCUUGUGACUGCACAGCUAGAGUAUGGCAGAGGGGGGUGGAAUUCCACGUGUAGCAGUGAAAUGCGUAGAGGUGUGGAGGAACACCGAUGGCGAAGGCAGCCCCCUGGGCCAAUACUGACGCUCAUGCACGAAAGCGUGGGGAGCAAACAGGAUUAGAUACCCCUGUAGUCCCUGUCUCUUAUAC